UUUCAUUGUUGCUACUAGUUUUUAAGCCCUUGAAUCAACUCUUUUCAUUAUUUCUAACCAUUGGAUUAAAUACUAUAACCCAAUGGGGACCACUCAACCCUAGAGGGACCACUCAACUAUAACCGACUAAUAUUAUCCUGACCCUACAAUUUUUCAUCCAAGGAUUAAAAACUUGAUAGUAAAAAGAGCGUUUUACUAUUAAUAGUAUUCCAGCCUAAUUCUAUAUAUAUAUAUAU
rnacentral:lncRNA from 1 species